GUACUUGCUUCGGCAGCACAUAUACUAAAAUUGGAAUGAUACAGAGAUUAGUGUGUUCCCUGCACAAGGAUGACAUGUCAAUUCAUGAAGCAUUCUACACACAC
ensembl:snRNA U6 U6 spliceosomal RNA